GAGUUUGAUCGUGGCUCAGAUUGAACGCUGGCGGCAGGCCUAACACAUGCAAGUCGAGCGGAUGACGGGAGCUUGCUCCUUGAUUCAGCGGCGGACGGGUGAGUAAUGCCUAGGAAUCUGCCUGGUAGUGGGGGACAACGUUUCGAAAGGAACGCUAAUACCGCAUACGUCCUACGGAGAAAGCAGGGGACCUUCGGGCCUUGCGCUAUCAGAUGAGCCUAGGUCGGAUUAGCUAGUUGGUGGGGUAAUGGCUCACCAAGGCGACGAUCCGUAACUGGUCUGAGAGGAUGAUCAGUCACACUGGAACUGAGACACGGUCCAGACUCCUACGGGAGGCAGCAGUGGGGAAUAUUGGACAAUGGGCGAAAGCCUGAUCCAGCCAUGCCGCGUGUGUGAAGAAGGUCUUCGGGAUUGUAAAGCACUUUAAG
rnacentral:rRNA from 1 species